CCAAAGAGAUCCUGCAUUCAGGAACAGUUGCUUGCAGGCUACCUGAAUUCAAGGGCAAAAUCCUCCCUGCAGGCAAAGCUCCCAGUUGCCCCAGCAAGAGGCAGAGACACGUAUUUGAAGGCAAAGCCUGGUCUUGAGAGUGUCAUUGAGACAAACCACUUCCAGCCUGGAGAGGGUUCUGGCCCUGCAGCACCUUCCAAACAACCUGCAGCUGCACCGUGCGGCAGCGCCGACUCCUUCUCCUGCGCAGACGACGGAGCAAACGGCACGGGCAGCUCGGGAGGACGUCGCCAAGCCAGGCCAGCUGUACAGAUGCAUUUUCCUGUCACGGGAUCACAGUGCCCUCCGUUGUGGCAUGGACAGUCCUGGCUGCAGUUAAUUCCAAAUGUUCCAGGAGGACACGGCUGCGCACACACCAGCCCCUGGUGGCUCCGUUGUGACACUGGCACUGGAACUGGCAGCCCUUGCCGUAGCUCCCGGGGUCGCACAGCUCUUCGCAGCGCCAGCCACGGUACCCGUCGGCGCAGACGCAGGCGCCCGUGAUGGGGUUG